UCCCAGCAGUCCAAGUCGCAACCAACAUUAUUGGGUCUAAAACAUCCGUAGCUUGCUUGAUAAGUCUCUCGUGAAAUUUCACAUCUCAAAUGUGAAGCGCGCGAGAGGUACUAUUGAGCUAGAGACCGGUAGGUGUAAGAAGUACGUUCAAGGUAGUAGUAAAAUACGUUAAUCUUGAAUGGACUCACAAUUAGCGAAGGCAUCUUACAAGGACGGAUCUGACAGUGAGGGAUGAAGGCCAAGGGCGCAAAAG
rnacentral:rRNA from 1 species